UCGGGAAUUUUGGGCAAUGGGGGAAACCCUGACCCAGCAACGCCGCGUGAAGGAUGAAGUAUUUCGGUAUGUAAACUUCGUAAGAAUAGGAAGAAUCAAUGACGGUACUAUUUGUAAGCUCCGGCUAACUACGUGCCAGCAGCCGCGGUAAUACGUAGGGGGCAAGCGUUGUUCGGAUUUACUGGGCGUAAAGGGCGCGUAGGCGGCGUGACAAGUCACUUGUGAAAUCUCCGGGCUUAACUCGGAACGGUCAAGUGAUACUGUUGUGCUAGAGUGCAGAAAGGGUAACUGGAAUUCUUGGUGUAGCGGUGAAAUGCGUAGAUAUCAAGAGGAACACCAGAGGCGAAGGCGAGUUACUGGGCUGACACUGACGCUGAGGCGCGAAAGCUAGGGGAGCGAACGGGAUUAGAUACCCUUGUAGUCCCUGAGCGGGCUGGCAAGGCGCAU
rnacentral:rRNA from 1 species